UACAGAGGUCCCAAGCGUUGUUCGGAUUCACUGGGCGUAAAGGGUGCGUAGGCGGUCGGGUAAGUCUGAUGUGAAAUCUCACAGCUUAACUGUGAAACUGCAUUGGAUACUAUCCGGCUCGAGGAAUGGAGGGGAGACUGGAAUACUUGGUGUAGCAGUGAAAUGCGUAGAUAUCAAGUGGAACACCAGUGGCGAAGGCGGCCACCUGGACGGUAACUGACGCUGAGACGCGAAAGCGUGGGUAGCAAACAGG
rnacentral:rRNA from 1 species